AGAUGGUAGCGAGGAGCCUUUCAAUAUCCGCCUGCACCUGGCCAAAGAUAUUCUCACCAUUCAAGAGCAAGACGUCAUCUGUGUGUCUGGAGAACCGUUCUACUCGAGUGAGAGAACAGUAACGAUCCGUCGGCAGACAAUCGGAGGGUUUGGGUUGAGCAUCAAGGGUGGUGCCGAACACAAGAUCCCCGUUGUUAUAUCUAAAAUAUCAAAAGAACAGAAGGCUGAACUUUCCGGACUUCUGUUUAUUGGAGAUGGAAUUCUCCAG